GACGUAGGGCGCGAGCGUUGUCCGGAUUUAUUGGGCGUAAAGAGCUCGUAGGCGGCUUGUCGCGUCGACUGUGAAAUCCCGCGGCUCAACUGCGGGUCUGCAGUCGAUACGGGCAGGCUAGAGUUCGGUAGGGGAGACUGGAAUUCCUGGUGUAGCGGUGAAAUGCGCAGAUAUCAGGAGGAACACCGGUGGCGAAGGCGGGUCUCUGGGCCGAAACUGACGCUGAGGAGCGAAAGCGUGGGGAGCAAACAGG
rnacentral:rRNA from 1 species